rnacentral:rRNA from 1 species
UACGAAGGGGGCUAGCGUUGCUCGGAAUCACUGGGCGUAAAGGGCGCGUAGGCGGGAUGGCAAGUCGGUCGUGAAAUCCUCGGCUCAACCGAAGAACGUCGGCCGAUACUGCCGUUCUUGAGGGAUGCAGAGGAGAUUGGAAUUCCCGGUGUAGCGGUGAAAUGUGUAGAGAUCGGGAGGAACACCGGUGGCGAAGGCGGGUCUCUGGGCAUUUCCUGACGCUGGAGGCGACGAAAGCGUGGGGAGCAAACGGG